CUGCUCCUCCCAAAAACAAGAUCAAUUCUUUGUGUUUCCUCAUCAGCUGAACAGUCUGUCAAAACUCUGACAGGAACACAUGAGAGAGAAAGCAGCAGGACACUAAAACAGUGAAUUACUUCAAGAUCACUAUGAGGAACUUAAAGAACAAGACUGAACACUCCCAUGAUGAAAUCUUAAAAAUGGAAGUCAUAUGAUGCUUUCUUCAAAAACAAAAAAUGUGGUAAUGCAAGGCAAGAUUUUGCCUGAGGUAAAGGACUACAUGAACCUGAUUACAAAUUAAACUUGAAUGAACCAUAAAACAAACAACAUUUGUCUUUCAAAAUCAACUGAAGGAUCAAGAAGGAUGCGUUUCAUCUUCAUCAAAGUUGGCGCAUCAUCAUCAUCAUUUCUGUGUUUCUGCUGUAUAUCUCAGGUGAGAUUUUAAAUAUUUUAAAUGAAACUUGUCACAUGCAGAAUGAUGAAUGGUGUGUUUGCUGUUUUUAGGUGUUUUCUCUGAUCCUGUGAGGGUAAAAGUUGAGGGUUUUGUUGGAGACUCAGCUAUCUUCUCUUGUUCGAUCCCUGAAAGUGAGAUUCAAGGCAAAACAGAAGAAUUCAGUGUACACUUGAGAGACGAUGAAGGCAAGACAGUGUGUG